CUGUCAAAGUUUUAUAUUUCUGAUGCACUCUUUACAACCUUUCAUUUAAACUUAAAGGGGCACUAGCUGUCAAAUUCAUGGUCACCAAUUUGACUCAAAUUCUCAUAUUUGAUUUAUAACAAUGUAAAACAUUUAUCUAAACUAUCAAAAGUCUAAAAUAAACAGUUUACAGAGCAUGGGGUAAAUAAUAUAUAGGUUCGUUUCGUGUGUAUUUUAGUCAAGACGCCAUCUAAUUAACUAUCGAUUUGACCUCAGAUGACCAUAUAAGCGAUGUAAAAAUAAAUAAAGAUAUGAAUAGAUUAAACCAACACGUGCAAUUGGAUUUUUAUAGGUCUGUUUGAUUUGAUUUUAUAGAUUAAAAAUAGAUGCUUCUCAUUGCUUUUAACUGUAUAAGAAUGAUUUUAUGUGCGUCGAAUUAGUAAUCAAAUGAUUUACCGUAGUUUCACUUUCAUUGUUGACAUUCUUUUUCUUUAAAUAACCAGUACAUGUACAAUGCAUGCGUUGUCAAUCUCUAGCUAGGGGUUAAAUUGAAGUUCAC
rnacentral:lncRNA from 1 species